UACGUAGGGUGCAAACGUUUGCUCGGAAUCAUUGGGCGUAAAGCGCACGUAGGCGGCUCGUUAAGUCGGAUGUGAAAUCCCUGGGCUCAACCCAGGAAGUGCAUUCGAAACUGGCGAGCUUGAAUAUGGAAGAGGGUCGCGGAAUUCCCGGUGUAGAGGUGAAAUUCGUAGAUAUCGGGAGGAACACCAGUGGCGAAGGCGGCGACCUGGGCCAAUAUUGACGCGAGGUGCGAAAGCGUGGGGCGCGAAACCGG
rnacentral:rRNA from 1 species